GAAGAGCUGUAGCUCAGUGGCAAAGCAUCUGCCUUGCAAGCAGACGGUCCCAGGUUCAAUCCCCGGUGUCUUCA
rnacentral:tRNA from 1 species